UCUAAUAUGGCAGAAUAGUGCAUUGAAUUUAAGCUUCAAUUAUAAAGAUUACUUCUUUUUUUAGAA
rnacentral:tRNA from 1 species